GACGAACGCUGGCGGCGUGCUUAACACAUGCCAGUCGAACGGAAAGGCCCUGCUUUUGUGGGGUGCUCGAGUGGCGAACGGGUGAGUAACACGUGAGUAACCUGCCCUUGACUUUGGGAUAACUUCAGGAAACUGGGGCUAAUACCGGAUAGGAGCUCCUGCUGCAUGGUGGGGGUUGGAAAGUUUCGGCGGUUGGGGAUGGACUCGCGGCUUAUCAGCUUGUUGGUGGGGUAGUGGCUUACCAAGGCUUUGACGGGUAGCCGGCCUGAGAGGUUGACCGGCCACAUUGGGACUGAGAUACGGCCCAGACUCCUACGGGAGGCAGCAGUGGGGAAUAUUGCACAAUGGGCGGAAGCCUGAUGCAGCAACGCCGCGUGCGGGAUGACGGCCUUCGGGUUGUAAACCGCUUUCGCCUGUGACGAAGCGUGAGUGACGGUAAUGGGUAAAGAAGCACCGGCUAACUACGUG
rnacentral:rRNA from 1 species